rnacentral:lncRNA from 1 species
UGAAUAAUGAAGCGUGCUGAGCCUGAGCGCCAUGUCAGACAGAAAGAGUCAGCAGAUAAAGUUUCCAUAAUCGAGUCCAUAAUAUAAAUUGUGUUCUGGCUCCAGGACUGGAGGGUUUUCACGCCCAUUAGUCCAGUUCAAUGGCUUUAAGUAUGAGCGGUAGAACUCGUGACGGUCAUGAGCAUUCCUUUCCUCCCCUCACAGUUCUAACCUUUUCUCAAGUCAGAGAUUUAAGCAAAGAAAAGUGAGACUGAGAGCUUUCGGGAAAGCGCUGAGAAGCAAUUUAGAAGGACCGGACCCUUCACAAUCUAAUUAUCUACUUUAGGUAACUUUUUCUACAUAAACACAGACCAUUGAUGGACAGGUCCAUUCAGUUUUCUUUUGAACUAAGAAAAAAAUAUUUUAAAUUAUUAAAUUUUCAAAAUUAUCAAUUUAUUUCAAUAUUGAUAGAAGCUUAGGCUAUACAAUGAUGAUCAAGAUUCAGAUUUUCUGUUAGUUAUGGUACAGGCUACAUUAUGAUGCUGCAAUGAAAUAACAUUAUUCAUAGCCCUACAGAAAAUAUUAUAGGAUAUAAAAUGUAAAUAUCUUCUGAUAUGUUGAUGUUGCUUUGGAAUUUAGCCUAAAUUCAAUUUGUAGCUAUGUAUUUUUGCGGCAAAAUGUUCAAUAUACUUGACCAGUGGAUUAGCCUAUAUAGUUUAACCUGUUAUUGAUGUUGAAAUAAACCUGUAAUAACGGUUUCCUACCGUUUAUAAUGGUAAUUGCAUCAUGUUCCUCAGGUGUAAAAGUCUGGAUGGAAAGAGAUGCCUCGCGGUGACUUCAACGUUUAUUUUGCAAGCAGAGGAGGACAGCAUGUCAGGGCCGAAGAGGCAGCUGGCAUAGCUCUGUUGGUUGUAAUUCUUGCAGCCCUUCUCAUCGUCGGAUGCUGGUAUUUCAAGAGGAGAAGGGGGUACAAAAUGAUCAGGAGCCCAAGAUCAGGGUCCCCGCCAGGAUUCAGUGGAGGACAGUUCAGCCAGCGAAGAGCUGCAGCAGAAAACAAGAUGGGCCUCAGUGAGCUCCGACCUGUGGUAAGAGACUCGGACUGGAUGUACUGGGCUUGUCAAUGGUCAGAACUUACUUCUUUAAAAAAAAUUGUAUUUGAUGUUUUAUUGAAUGGAGUUGUCCUCUAUUGCUGCGUUUACACAGGCAGGCCAAUUCAGAUAUUUUUUCCACUAAUUGGGAAAAAGAUCAGAAUUGGGCUUCCUGUGUAA